UUGUCCAGGCAAAUCCGGAUAAUCAAGGCUGAGGUGUGAUGACGAGGCACUACGGUGCUGAAGUAACAAAUGCCCUGCUUCCAGGAAAAGCCUCUAAGCAUCAGGUAACAUCAAAUCGUACCCCAAACCGACACAGGUGGUCAGGUAGAGAAUACCAAGGCGCUUGAGAGAACUCGGGUGAAGGAACUAGGCAAAAUGGUGCCGUAACUUCGGGAGAAGGCAC
rnacentral:rRNA from 1 species